rnacentral:rRNA from 1 species
UGGGGAAUAUUGCACAAUGGGCGCAAGCCUGAUGCAGCCAUGCCGCGUGUAUGAAGAAGGCCUUCGGGUUGUAAAGUACUUUCAGCGAGGAGGAAGGCAUUAAGGUUAAUAACCUUGGUGAUUGACGUUACUCGCAGAAGAAGCACCGGCUAACUCCGUGCCAGCAGCCGCGGUAAUACGGAGGGUGCAAGCGUUAAUCGGAAUUACUGGGCGUAAAGCGCACGCAGGCGGUCUGUCAAGUCGGAUGUGAAAUCCCCGGGCCACUGGAACUGGCAAU